GUAUAGGAGGUCCAGCCUGCCCAGUGACUACAAGUUCAACGGCCGCGGUAUUUUGACCGUGCAAAGGUAGCGCAAUCACUUGUCUUUUAAAUAGAGACCUGUAUGAAUGGCUAAACGAGGGCUUAACUGUCUCCCCUUUCCAGUCAGUGAAAUUGAUCUGCCCGUGCAGAAGCGGACAUAAAAAUACAAGACGAGAAGACCCUUUGGAGCUUAAGGUACAAAACUCAACCACGUCAAGCAACUCAAUAAAAAGCAAAAACUUUGUGGAAUAUGAGAUUUUACCUUCGGUUGGGGCGACCACGGAGGAAAACAAAGCCUCCAAGUGGAUUGGGAAAACCUCCUAAAACCAAGAGAGACAUCUCUAAGCCACAGAACAUCUGACCAAACAUGAUCCGGCUACCCGAAGCCGAUCAACGAACCAAGUUACCCUAGGGAUAACAGCGCAAUCCUCUCCCAGAGUCCAUAUCGACGAGAGGGUUUACGACCUCGAUGUUGGAUCAGGACAUCCUAAUGGUGCAGCCGCUAUUAAGGGUUCGUUUGUUCAACGAUUAAAGUCCUACGUGAUC
rnacentral:rRNA from 1 species